GAUGAAGAACUUAGCGAAAUGCGAUAAGUAAUGUGAAUUGCAGAAUUCAGUGAAUCAUCGAAUCUUUGAACGCACAUUGCGCCCGCCAGUAUUCUGGCGGGCAUGCCUGUUCGAGCGUCAUUUCAACCCUCAAGCCCAGCUUGGUGUUGGGGAUCGGCACAGGCGCCCUCGGGCGCCCGCCGUCCCCUAAAUCUAGUGGCGGUCCCGCUGCAGCCUCCUCUGCGUAGUAGUUUUCUCCUCGCAAGGGCAGCUCGGUGGCGACCUCGCCGUAAAACCCCCAACUUCUGAAAGGUUGACCUCGAAUCAGGUAGGAAUACCCGCUGAACUUAAGCAUAUCAAUAAGCGGAGGA
rnacentral:misc_RNA from 1 species